UACGUAGGGUGCGAGCGUUGUCCGGAAUUAUUGGGCGUAAAGAGCUUGUAGGCGGUUUGUCGCGUCUGCUGUGAAAAUCCGGGGCUCAACCCCGGACUUGCAGUGGGUACGGGCAGACUAGAGUGUGGUAGGGGAGACUGGAAUUCCUGGUGUAGCGGUGAAAUGCGCAGAUAUCAGGAGGAACACCGGUGGCGAAGGCGGGUCUCUGGGCCGUAACUGACGCUGAGGAGCGAAAGCAUGGGGGAGCGAACAGG
rnacentral:rRNA from 1 species